rnacentral:snoRNA from 1 species
AGCAGCCUAGUGCUUACCACAGGCUGUGUUCUUACACUGACUAUACAGAAAGAUGAAGUACAAUAAACCUACCACAUACACACCCCAAACCAGGCCCUGUGCCUGCCUGGUCUGUACUGUGAAUGGGGGAUAUGG